GGUGGGUGAAAUAAUUAAACCUAAUCAACCAAAGCUGUUUCCAAUUUGUGUUGAUUAGAACAUGAUUUUCACUCUUUACACACUUUUGCACCCUGCUUUCAUCAGCAGCGGUCUUAUAAAAACGAUGUCAGUUUCAUCAGGUGAUUUCUGUCUGUGACUUUUUGUACUGCGAGGAACUUGAUGCCACAAAUAUGAAGCCUGCUGUUCCUGCAAAGCAGAGGGUUCGUCCAAAAACUAAGAAGAGGAUUCAUGCUUACUGCACGCUCAUCUACAGAGCUCAUAAAGAGGUUAGUCCUGCAGCUAGUCUGAGAAGUCCUGAGUUCUUGACCAGGAGGCAUGGGUUCCCCAGACCCAUCCUACUCAGGCUGGUGGCCUUGGAGGCUUGUAGGCUGUCAAAGGCAAACAGACUCAAAGUCAUCACUCUGCAAGAGCUCAAUGGUGCUGUUGCACACGUACAACGGAGGAUUCAUGGGAGAGCUGCUGCAUGAGGCUACAGACUUGCUCUAAUACAAACUCUUAUUAUUUUACUACAAUUAAAGGGUUUUUAAAUCUU